GCUCCAUACAGUUACAUGUAUAUCUAUUUUUAGCUUAUUGGUUCACAUCUAUGGCGGUCAAGAUCUAUUUGUGAAUGAGUACAGAACUUUAUUGUCUGACAGAUUAUUACUAUCACUUGACUAUGAUGUCACAAGAGAAUUAAGGAACCUUGAGUUAUUAAAGCUGAGAUUUGGAGAGAGUAACCUCCAUUAUUUCCUUUGGAAACACUGGCUUCAGUUUGAAUCAGCUCAAACUUUU